rnacentral:rRNA from 1 species
GGCACGCCUAACACAUGCAAGUCGAACGAAGUAGCAAUACUUAGUGGCAGACGGGUGAGUAACAUGUAGGUAUCUUCCCUUUGGCCUGGAAUAACACGAGGAAACUUGUGCUAAUACUGGAUAAGUCUUUACGGAGAAAGCUUUAUGCACCAUUGGAUGAGCCUGCACUUGAUUAGUUUGUUGGUAGGGUAAUGGCCUACCAAGACUGUGAUCAAUAGCUGAUUUGAGAGGAUGAUCAGCCACAUUGGGACUGAGACACGGCCCAAACUCCUACGGGAGGCAGCAGUGGGGAAUCUUGCACAAUGGAGGAAACUCUGAUGCAGCGAUGCCGCGUGAGUGAAGAAGGCCCUUGGGUUGUAAAGCUCUUUCGUCGGGGAAGAAAAUGACUGUACCCGAAUAAGAAGGUCCGGCUAACUUCGUGCCAGCAGCCGCGGUAAUACGAAGGGACCUAGCGUAGUUCGGAAUUACUGGGCUUAAAGAGUUCGUAGGUGGUUGAAAAAGUUGGUGGUGAAAUCCCAGAGCUUAACUCUGGAACUGCCAUCAAAACUUUUCAGCUAGAGUUUGAUAGAGGAAAGCAGAAUUUCUAGUGUAGAGGUGAAAUUCGUAGAUAUUAGAAAGAAUACCAAUUGCGAAGGCAGCUUUCUGGAUCAUUACUGACACUGAGGAACGAAAGCAUGGGUAGCGAAGAGGAUUAGAUACCCUCGUAGUCCAUGCCGUAAACGAUGUGUGUUAGACGUUGGAAAUUUAUUUUCAGUGUCGCAGCGAAAGCGAUAAACACACCGCCUGGGG